GACAGCGGGUUCGUCCGCCAGCGCCGGCAAAUCCCGCCCAUGGCUGGACAGCGAGGUGAGGUUACCAAUUUCGCACAUUAUUUUAGUAUUUUACCUCAACUUGAACAGAUUUUAUUUCGAUAUAUCAGUAUGUUUACAAAUAAGUACUAAUUAGUACAGCAGAAUUGACCAAUCUCGAUGAGAGCAGGAACGAUUGCAAGCAUGUUCUACAGUCGCAACCCCUCUCACGAAACCCCGACAAUCGAUCGCCGGCAAGCGGUUUUGCUGCUGGCGACGCAUCACGGAUGGGAAGCAGCGGGAUGCCUUCUCACAUUCGCGUUCACGCUAGCAUCGAGAGGAGAUGGGGGCGAUAGUUUUGCAUUGCUCUUUCAGAUCCACAGCCACUAGGAAACAAUAAGAUGGAUCUUGAUUUUUUCUUUUGCCUCACUUGUACACUGAGUUCCUUUUGUCUCAGUUGUGCUCGAGCAUUUAAGAUCUGGGAAGCUAUAGUGGUUGGAAUGUGUGGAUGAUGGAUGGUGCUGCUUAGACUUGGUGUCCUACUUAUCCAUGAUUUGGAGAUACAAAACAUGUACUACAAGAUUAUAUAGCCUAGAUGAUUUGGACUCUCUGAAGCAUAUUCGGAUUAUGAGAACAGGAUCAUUAUUGUUAAGUCUGAGAUUGAUGGCGAAAGAGCUGUGAUUCAGCUAUGGGACUAAACAUGGAAAUCACAGUUUGAAGGAAUCUAACAACAGUUCCCAACUUCCCAUUGUACUUAUGUGGGGUAUGAACCCCUCCCAUGUUUUCCCUCUCGAUCGAUUAAUUAUGUUUCUCUGUUUCCAGUGUUUGUUCCCCUCUCAGAUUUGGUGCGAUGAUCCAGUGUUACACCCGAAUGAACCUGUGGCAUGAAUGUAUAUACUGAAAUUUGUUUCUCAGUAUACAUUGUUCUCCUUCUAUUUCAUUGAUUAUGAUUUGAUCUGGGCAUUUUGUACCUGCCAAGAGCAUGGUCAGAGGCAGUAACGAGGCAACAUACAUCAUAGGUCGUAUGGUCUUUAUCCUUCGACAACAUUCAAUUAGUUAGUCUCAAUAUUCAUUCAUCAUGUGAUGGUAUUUUCCUUAAUUUACUUAUUGCUCAUGUUUGUGUUGUGAAAAGGAACAGCGUAUUAUGAACCAUAUGAGGCAAGCUCUGAUGAGGCAUUUACCUGCAAGGGACAGAAGGGCCGUGCCUGCUUUAAGAUACAGCCGUUCCGGUGCUUCCACAACAUCCAUGGGACAAGGAGAGUCGCAAAAGCUAGAUCUUUUGUGUAGUGGCUUUGGAGUUCCGUGUCUUAAAUCGAUCCACCAAUCAUGGAGAGUUGCUCGGCGUCCGAAGGCAUGCAGGUCAUGCGCAGCCAAGUCAAAACCUCAUGCUAGACUUGCCUGGAGAAGGGGCUAUAUCAAUAUCAAGAUUCUUUACCAUAAGUAUUCACUAUGUUGAAGAUGCGGUCUUCAUAAUAUGUAUUUACUCGCCAUGUUAGAAUUGUUUCCAUCGGCUCCAUGCAAAUGCCCAUUUAUGUCUACAAAUAAAUCGACCUGUAUGCAAAUGCAAAUUUAUAUUAAAAAUAAUUUUGAAUCAUGGGGAUUUUUUUUAUCA